rnacentral:tRNA from 1 species
GGGCUCGUAGCGCAGUUGGUUAGCGCGUCACAUUGACAUUGUGAAGGUCAGAGGUUCGAAUCCUCUCGAGCCCACUA